rnacentral:ncRNA from 1 species
GCAAAGGCUGUGACAGAGAUAAAAAUAUUCAAUAUAUUAAUUACAGAGAGCUAAUGUUAGGUGUAAAUUGGCAUUGAUAUGGAUAUAUAAUGAUCACUCUGGAGCCUCCAAGUUGAAAGGUUUUGCCAAGUAAAUGAGGACGUUUACCAGCGAUACAUGGUUAGGGUUCACUAUGAAGAUGAAUUUAAUUUGUUUAAAGUCGACCUGAUAAUGAGUGACAAUUUGUAUAUCUAAUUGUAAAUAAGGUGGUACCACGGAAGCGUAUCUCCCGUCCUUAUA